rnacentral:lncRNA from 1 species
GCAAUUGAGUUAUCUCAUAAUCUAAUUAGACUUGAUUAAAUCAAACCCAAGUCAAGUCAAAUUGAAUCCAAUUCAAUUAGACUUGAUCCAAGUCCCAUUGCCUAAUCAAAUUGAACCAAUUAGCAAUCCAAUUGCUAAUUAAUCCUCCUAUAACUUACUAACUCUUAGUAUGUUACUUAAUUGCAACUUUUGCAUCGGA